rnacentral:rRNA from 1 species
GACGAACGCUGGCGGCGUGCCUAAUACAUGCAAGUCGAGCGAAGUUUUUCUGGUGCUUGCACCGGAAAAACUUAGCGGCGCACGGGUGAGUAACACGUAAAGAACCUGCCUCAUAGACUGGGACAACUAUUGGAAACGAUAGCUAAUACCGGAUAACAGCAUUAACUGCAUGGUUGAUGUUUAAAAGUUGGUUUUGCUAACACUAUGAGAUGGCUUUGCGGUGCAUUAGCUAGUUGGUGGGGUAAGGGCCUACCAAGGCGACGAUGCAUAGCCGACCUGAGAGGGUGAUCGGCCACACUGGGACUGAGACACGGCCCAGACUCCUACGGGAGGCAGCAGUAGGGAAUCUUCCGCAAUGGGCGAAAGCCUGACGGAGCAACGCCGCGUGAGUGAAGAAGGAUUUCGGUUCGUAAAGCUCUGUUGUUAGGGAAGAAUGAUUGUGUAGUAACUAUACACAGUAGAGACGGUACCUAACCAGAAAGCCACGGCUAACUACGUG